rnacentral:rRNA from 1 species
UACGUAGGGUGCAAGCGUUAAUCGGAAUUACUGGGCGUAAAGCGUGCGCAGGCGGUUCGCUAAGACCGAUGUGAAAUCCCCGGGCUUAACCUGGGAACUGCAUUUGUGACUGGCGGGCUAGAGUAUGGCAGAGGGGGGUAGAAUUCCACGUGUAGCAGUGAAAUGCGUAGAGAUGGGGAGGAAUACCGAUGGCGAAGGCAGCCCCCUGGGCCAAUACUGACGCUCAUGCACGAAAGCGUGGGGAGCAAACAGG